GUCGAGGGGAUGCAGGACCUGGGUUUUGGGCGUUACAAGCACCUGGUGGUCGUCAACGGCGAUCCGCUGUUCAACCCGGCGCCGCGACG
rnacentral:tRNA from 1 species